GCAUCUUGACACUACUGGGACCACUGGCGAGGACGCGUUCUCGCGUCGUUCUCUCUGCGCGCUCCCGUGCCACCUUCAUUUCAAGUAGCUGUAGUUUUCUCCGCAAUGCCCUGCUUUCAUUCUGGCUUUGAGUUAUUUCCAAACGAAACACUGCAUAGUCAUCGUCUACGAGUUUACAGAUAUCUGCCACUGCUGCAUUCGCUAGCACCUCCAUAAUGGAGGCUAUUUGAGUGUGAAAAACCAUAGGCCUACAGUUAGCCAUUGUUAGCAACUAGCUAGCGUUACCUUAAUAACAUCUAUCAACCAAGGCCUGUCUCCAAAGCGAAUUUAACACUGCCUGGGUCAAUAGAGAUGGAGAAUGGGAAGCAUGAUCUGUUGCUAGUCAAAGAGGAGAUAAGAGGACGGACCAGCGAACAUUGAUCUGCUGAAGAUGGAAGAGCAAGGUGGCUGGCUGGAGGCUAACAGAGGAGAGUGCGUAUCCAUCUUGGAUUCCAAGACCCUGAUGGGUGCAGCCAAGGGCCUAGGGGACGACAUCACAGAUCAGGCCAGGACCAGAGUCUGCAGUCCAUGAAGACUUGCUGACCUGUAUUCGGUGUUGCUGGUGGGAGAGACUGGACCUCUGAGGUGGCUGGUCACAAACCCUGUCCCCGGACCAGGACACUGGAUCAGGAGCCAUCUCUCUUCCUUCCCGAGUCGGACCUGGCACCGAACCACUAGGGACAGAGACUUCACCACCACACAGAUCACCACCAGUGGAGAGGUGGACUGAACAACCUCAGUCCUGGUGGUCAUCAGAGAGACAGAGGCUCCAGUCAUGGAUCCAGUCUGCAGCCCAGACCCUUCUCUUCACAGUCUCAGAGCAGGGAUGAAGCAGGACCUGGGGCUGAUAGAGACCCUCCUGUUCCUAUGAUACAAACACCACAGUAGGAGAAAACAGACUUCCUGAUAGACUACCACCAAGGGAGU